rnacentral:rRNA from 1 species
GAUGAACGCUGGCGGCGUGCCUAAUACAUGCAAGUCGAGCGAACAGAUGAGGAGCUUGCUCCUCUGACGUUAGCGGCGGACGGGUGAGUAACACGUGGAUAACCUACCUAUAAGACUGGGAUAACUUCGGGAAACCGGAGCUAAUACCGGAUAAUAUAUUGAACCGCAUGGUUCAAUAGUGAAAGACGGUUUUGCUGUCACUUAUAGAUGGAUCCGCGCCGCAUUAGCUAGUUGGUAAGGUAACGGCUUACCAAGGCAACGAUGCGUAGCCGACCUGAGAGGGUGGUCGGCCACACUGGAACUGAGACACCGUCCAGACUCCUACGGGAGGCAGCAGUAGGGAAUCUUCCGCAAUGGGCGAAAGCCUGACGGAGCAACGCCGCGUGAGUUAUGAAGGUCUUCGGAUCGUAAAACUCUGUUAUUAGGGAAGAACAAAUGUGUAAGUAACUAUGCACGUCUUGACGGUACCUAAUCAGAAAGCCCCGGCUAACUACGUG